rnacentral:snoRNA from 1 species
CUUCCCAUUUAUUUGCUGCUUGUAGUCUCAUAGUGAUAUGAGCAGUUAUACGCGUGGGAUAAAAUAACAUUGGGCCACUGUAAAUCGAGAUGAAGUAACCAUUUUCAUCUCUUCUGCAUGGACUAGACAUUG